rnacentral:pre_miRNA from 1 species
GGCCCAAAUUUCAAGUAGAGUAGAUCAGUAGUGCCAGCUGACUCUAUUUAACUAUUCUAUUUCAAGUUUGUGCCC